UGGGGUGUGGCUUAGUGGUAGAGCACUUGCCAAGCCUGGGCAAAGCCCUGGGUUCAAUCCCCAGCACCACAA
rnacentral:tRNA from 1 species